rnacentral:rRNA from 12 species
AGACCCGAAACCCGGUGAUCUAGCCAUGGGCAGGUUGAAGGUUGGGUAACACUAACUGGAGGACCGAACCGACUAAUGUUGAAAAAUUAGCGGAUGACCUGUGGCUGGGGGUGAAAGGCCAAUCAAACCGGGAGAUAGCUGGUUCUCCCCGAAAGCUAUUUAGGUAGCGCCUCGUGAAUUCAUCUCCGGGGGUAGAGCACUGUUUCGGCUAGGGGGCCAUCCCGGCUUACCAACCCGAUGCAAACUGCGAAUACCGGAGAAUGUUAUCACGGGAGACACACGGCGGGUGCUAACGUCCGUCGUGAAGAGGGAAACAACCCAGACCGCCAGCUAAGGUCCCAAAGUCAUGGUUAAGUGGGAAACGAUGUGGGAAGGCCCAGACAGCCAGGAUGUUGGCUUAGAAGCAGCCAUCAUUUAAAGAAAGCGUAAUAGCUCACUGGUCGAGUCGGCCUGCGCGGAAGAUGUAACGGGGCUAAACCAUGCACCGAAGCUGCGGCAGCGACACUCAGGUGUUGUUGGGUAGGGGAGCGUUCUGUAAGCCUG